GAUUGGACCCGACUAUUGUGACAAAGAUUUUAACUUGUCAAGACAUGUGACGUACUGGUGAACCUCCACUAAGCUUUCACACUGAUAAAAAUGCAAGCUCUCUAGAUUUGGAACCAAUGAAAUGU